rnacentral:sRNA from 1 species
GCCAGCGGUGAUGGCUUGAAUGCCAGGCUGGGGGCUGGGAUUUUUCCUGAGGAUUUCACAGGACAGAGGUUGGCUUGGAAAGACCAAGGCGGCGGCUGCGGGCGCAGAGCGGAGAUGCAGCGGCUUGGGGCCACCCUGCUGUGCCUGCUGCUGGCGGCGGCGGUCCCCACGGCCCCCGCGCCCGCUCCGACGGCGACCUCGGCUCCAGUCAAGCCCGGCCCGGCUCUCAGCUACCCGCAGGAGGAGGCCACCCUCAAUGAGAUGUUCCGCGAGGUUGAGGAACUGAUGGAGGACACGCAGCACAAAUUGCGCAGCGCGGUGAAAGAGAUGGAGGCAGAAGAAGCGGCUGCUAAAGCGUCAUCAGAAGUGAACCUGGCAAACUUACCUCCCAGCUAUCACAAUGAGACCAACACAGACACGAAGGUUGGAAAUAAUACCAUCCAUGUGCACCGAGAAAUUCACAAGAUAACCAACGACCAGACUGGACAAAUGGUCUUUUCAGAGACAGUUAUCACAUCUGUGGGAGAUGAAGAAGGCAGAAGGAGCCACGCAGAUAACUGGAGCUGCAGAAAGGAGUCUGGUGGAGAGGGAGGCAGGCUGGUGGCUGGACGCUGGCCUCCUUGCUGCCACAUUGUGCAUAGGAUGAGCUGCUCUUGUUACCGUGGGAUACUCAGCCUGGCCAUCUUUUUGGAUCCCGGACCCCAUCUGCUGCCUGACCUAGCAGGAGAGCCAGCUGCUGCUUCACAUCCCAGCUCCAGCACUCACUAGCUGUGUGACUUUGGCAAGUUACUCAGCCUUUCUGUGCCUCCGUUUCCUCAUCUGUAAAACAGAAAGGAAUAAUAACAGCCCUCUCUCAGUGGAG